rnacentral:siRNA from 1 species
UCUAGCUUUUCAUUCAGGGCC